AUGAACGCUGGCGGCGUGCCUCAUACAUGCAAGUCGAGCGAACAGACGAGGAGCUUGCUCCUCUGACGUUAGCGGCGGACGGGUGAGUAACACGUUGAUAACCUACCUAUAAGACUGGGAUAACUUCGGGAAACCGGAGCUAAUACCGGAUAAUAUAUUUAACCGCAUGGUUCAAUAGUGAAAUACGGUUUUGCUUUCACUUAUAGAUGGAUCCGCGCCGCAUUAGCUAGUUGGUAAGGUAACGGCUUACCAAGGCAACGAUGCGUAGCCGACCUGAGAGGGUGAUCGGCCACACUGGAACUGAGACACGGUCCAGACUCCUACGGGAGGCAGCAGUAGGGAAUCUUCCGCAAUGGGCGAAAGCUUGACGGAGCAACGCCGCGUGAGUGAUGAAGGUCUUCGGAUCGUAAAACUCUGUUAUUAGGGAAGAACAAAUGUGUAAGUAACUAUGCACGUCUUGACGGUACCUAAUCAGAAAGCCACGGCUAACUACGUG
rnacentral:rRNA from 1 species